AUACGGAGGGUGCAAGCGUUACGCGGAAUCACUGGGCGUAAAGCGCGCGCAGGCGGCUUGAUAAGUUGGAUGUGAAAGCCUACGGCUCAACCGUAGAACUGCAUCCAAAACUGUCAGGCUAGAGUGUGGGAGAGGAAGAUGGAAUUAGUUGUGUAGGGGUAAAAUCCGUAGAGAUAACUAGGAAUACCAAAAGCGAAGGCGAUCUUCUGGAACAGUACUGACGCUGAGGCGCGAAAGCGUGGGGAGCAAACAGGAUUAGAAACCCUAGUAGUCC
rnacentral:rRNA from 1 species